CGCCGUUUUAUCAAAAACAUGUCUUAUUGAAAAUAAUUUUAAGUCUAAUCUGCCCACUGAGAUUUUAAAUGGCUGCAGUAUCAAUAACUGUACAAAGGUAGCAUAAUAAUUAGUUUUUUAAUUAAAAACUAGAAUGAAAGAUUAAAUGAAAUAUAAACUUUAUAAGUAAAAUUAAAUUAAAAUUAAAUUUUAAGUUAAAAUUCUUAAAUAUUAUUAAAAGACGAGAAGACCCUUUAGAAUUUUAUAUUAAUUAAAAUUAAAAUUAUAAUUAUUAAUAAUAUAAAUUUUAAUUAAUAUUUAAUUGGGGUAAUUUUUUAAUUUUAUAAACUUUAAAAUAAUCAAACAUUAAUUAAUGAAUUUAUAAACCUAAAAUUUGGAAUUUUAAAAUAAAUUACCUUAGGGAUAACAGCGUAAA
rnacentral:rRNA from 1 species